rnacentral:rRNA from 1 species
UUAAGCCAUGCAUGUCUAAGUACUUGCCGUUUUAAGGCGAAACCGCGAAUGGCUCAUUAAAUCAGUUGUGGUUCCUUGGAUCGUACCUCACUACUUGGAUAACUGUGGUAAUUCUAGAGCUAAUACAUGCAGCGGAGCUCCGACCUUCGGGGACGAGCGCUUUUAUUAGACCAAAACCAAACGGGCCUACGUCCGUCUCUCGUGGUGACUCUGGAUAACUUUGAGCGGAUCGCACGGGCCAGUCCCGGCGACGUAUCUUUCAAGCGUCUGCCUUAUCAACUUUCGACGGUAGGUUAUGCGCCUACCGGGUCGUAACGGGUGACGGGGAAUCAGGGUUCGAUUCCGGAGAGGGAGCCUGAGAAACGGCUACCACAUCCAAGGAAGGCAGCAGGCGCGCAAAUUACCCACUCCCGGCACGGGGAGGUAGUGACGAAAAAUAACGAUACGGGACUCUUACGAGACCCCGUAAUCGGAAUGAGUACACUUUAAACCCUUUAACGAGGAUCCAUUCGAGGGCAAGUCUGGUGCCAGCAGCCGCGGUAACCCCAGCUCGAAUAGCGUAUAUUAAAGUUGUUGCGGUUAAAAAGCUCGUAGUUGGAUCUCGGUUCCAGACGGACGGUCCGCCCGCCGGCGGUCACUGUCCGUUCUGAACGUCCCGUCGGUUUCCCUCGAUGAUCUUCGCCGGUUGUCGCGGGCGACCGACAAGUUUACUUUGAAAAAAUUAGAGUGCUCAAAGCAGGCGCGACGCCUGGAUAAUGGUGCAUGGAAUAAUGGAAUAGGACCUCGGUUCUAUUUUGUUGGUUUUCUGAACGCGAGGUAAUGAUUAAGAGGGACAGACGGGGGCAUCCGUAUGCGACGCUAGAGGUGAA